rnacentral:rRNA from 1 species
UACGGAGGGUGCAAGCGUUAUCCGGAUUCACUGGGUUUAAAGGGUGCGUAGGCGGAUAGGUAAGUCCGUGGUGAAAUCCUGCAGCUUAACUGCAGAACUGCCAUGGAUACUAUUUAUCUUGAAUGUCGUGGAGGUUAGCAGAAUAUGUCAUGUAGCGGUGAAAUGCUUAGAUAUGACAUAGAAUACCCAUUGCGAAGGCAGCUAACUACGCGAUAAUUGACGCUGAUGCACGAAAGCGUGGAGAUCAAACAGG